rnacentral:rRNA from 1 species
CGACUCUCGGCAACGGAUAUCUUGGCUCUCGCAUCGAUG